AUUGAACGUUGGCGGCAGGCCUAACACAUGCAAGUCGAGCGGUAGCACAGAGAGCUUGCUCUCGGGUGACGAGCGGCGGACGGGUGAGUAAUGUCUGGGAAACUGCCUGAUGGAGGGGGAUAACUACUGGAAACGGUAGCUAAUACCGCAUAACGUCGCAAGACCAAAGUGGGGGACCUUCGGGCCUCAUGCCAUCAGAUGUGCCCAGAUGGGAUUAGCUAGUAGGUGGGGUAACGGCUCACCUAGGCGACGAUCCCUAGCUGGUCUGAGAGGAUGACCAGCCACACUGGAACUGAGACACGGUCCAGACUCCUACGGGAGGCAGCAGUGGGGAAUAUUGCACAAUGGGCGCAAGCCUGAUGCAGCCAUGCCGCGUGUGUGAAGAAGGCCUUCGGGUUGUAAAGCACUUUCAGCGGGGAGGAAGGCGGUGAGGUUAAUAACCUCAUCGAUUGACGUUACCCGCAGAAGAAGCACCGGCUAACUCCGUGCCAGCAGCCGCGGUAAUACGGAGGGUGCAAGCGUUAAUCGGAAUUACUGGGCGUAAAGCGCACGCAGGCGGUCUGUCAAGUCGGAUGUGAAAUCCCCGGGCUCAACCUGGGAACUGCAUUCGAAACUGGCAGGCUAGAGUCUUGUAGAGGGGGGUAGAAUUCCAGGUGUAGCGGUGAAAUGCGUAGAGAUCUGGAGGAAUACCGGUGGCGAAGGCGGCCCCCUGGACAAAGACUGACGCUCAGGUGCGAAAGCGUGGGGAGCAAACAGGAUUAGAUACCCUGGUAGUCCACGCUGUAAACGAUGUCGAUUUGGAGGUUGUGCCCUUGAGGCGUGGCUUCCGGAGCUAACGCGUUAAAUCGACCGCCUGGGGAGUACGGCCGCAAGGUUAAAACUCAAAUGAAUUGACGGGGGCCCGCACAAGCGGUGGAGCAUGUGGUUUAAUUCGAUGCAACGCGAAGAACCUUACCUGGUCUUGACAUCCACAGAACUUUCCAGAGAUGGAUUGGUGCCUUCGGGAACUGUGAGACAGGUGCUGCAUGGCUGUCGUCAGCUCGUGUUGUGAAAUGUUGGGUUAAGUCCCGCAACGAGCGCAACCCUUAUCCUUUGUUGCCAGCGGUUAGGCCGGGAACUCAAAGGAGACUGCCAGUGAUAAACUGGAGGAAGGUGGGGAUGACGUCAAGUCAUCAUGGCCCUUACGACCAGGGCUACACACGUGCUACAAUGGCAUAUACAAAGAGAAGCGACCUCGCGAGAGCAAGCGGACCUCAUAAAGUAUGUCGUAGUCCGGAUUGGAGUCUGCAACUCGACUCCAUGAAGUCGGAAUCGCUAGUAAUCGUAGAUCAGAAUGCUACGGUGAAUACGUUCCCGGGCCU
rnacentral:rRNA from 1 species